GCUUCUCAGCUGUUUUCUUAACCUCACAAUCAUUCAGAGAGCUGGGUUUGUUGUCGAUCACAGAAGCAAUGAUUUUAGUGAGACACUGAUGGUAGUGUUCAAGCGCGCCCGACACUUGGCGGGUUUCGCUCUCCACCGCUUGUCU
ensembl:ncRNA W04D2.14 ncRNA